rnacentral:tRNA from 1 species
GGAGGUGGCUGAGCGGCCGAAAGCGCUAGUUUGAAAAUCUAGUGUACUGGAAACGGUACCGUGGGUUCGAAUCCCACCCUCUCCG